CUAAGGAGAGGUCGAAAGACGUAUCCGAUGGACAGCAGGUUUAGAUUCCUGUACCGCAUAUAAACAGAACUGUGGGGACGCAUGUGGAAAGCAUAAGCCGGGAAUGGAAAUACCGGUACAAACGGAAGAGGUGUCAGGCUGGCAAAUCCGCCUGGCAAGCCAAAGACGUGAUGUGGAGCGAAAUAAAAGUAGCGAAGUAUGUGAGCCAUGUGCCGAGAAAAGCCGCUAUUGUUUUAUAUGUGCCCGUACCGUAAACCGACACAGGUGGAUGAGGAGAGAAUCCUAAGGCCGACGGAAGAAGCAUUGUUAAGGAACUCGGCAAAAUGACCCCGUAACUUCGGGAGAAGGGGUGCCCACUUCAGGGUGGGCCGCAGAGAAUAGGCUCAAGCAACUGUUUAGCAAAAACACAGGUCUAUGCGAAACCGUAAGGUGAAGUAUAUGGGCUGACGCCUGCCCGGUGCUGGAAGGUUAAGAGGAGAGGUUAGUCGCAAGAUGAAGCUUUGAAUUUAAGCCCCAGUAAACGGCGGCCGUAACGAUAACGGUCCUAAGGUAGCGAAAUUCCUUGUCGGGUAAGUUCCGACCCGCACGAAAGGCGUAAUGAUUUGAGCACUGUCUCGACAAUGCAUCCGGUGAAAUUGAAGUACCAGUGAAGAUGCUGGUUACCCGCGCCAGGACGGAAAGACCCCAUGGAGCUUUACUCCAGUUUGGUACUGGGAUUCGGUACUGCAUGUACAGGAUAGGUGGGAGACUGAGAAAUUGGAACGCCAGUUUCAAUGGAGUCACUGUUGGGAUACCACCCCUGCAGUAUUGGGUUUCUAACCAGCCGCUGUGAUCCAGCGGUGGGACAAUGCCAGGCGGGGAGUUUGACUGGGGCGGUCGCCUCCGAAAGGGUAUCGGAGGCGCUCAAAGGUUCCCUCAGAAUGGUCGGAAACCAUUUUAAGAGUGCAAAGGCAGAAGGGAGCUUGACUGCGACACCGACGGGUGGAGCAGGUACGAAAGUAGGACUUAGUGAUCCGGUGGCAUAAAGUGGGAUUGCCAUCGCUCAACGGAUAAAAGCUACCCUGGGAUAACAGGCUUGUCACUCCCAAGAGUUCACAUCGACGGAGUGGUUUGGCACCUCGAUGUCGGCUCAUCGCAUCCUGGGGCUGUAGCAGGUCCCAAGGGUUGGGCUGUUCGCCCAUUAAAGCGGUACGCGAGCUGGGUUCAGAACGUCGUGAGACAGUUCGGUCCCUAUCCGGCGCGGGCGGAGGAUAUUUGAGAGGAGCUGUCCUUAGUACGAGAGGACCGGGAUGGACGGACCACUGGUGUAUCUGCUGUCGACCAACGGCAUGGCAGAGUAGCCAAGUCCGGAAGGGAUAAACGCUGAAGGCAUCUAAGCGUGAAGCCCCCCUCAAGAUGAGAUAUCCCUCACAUAAGUGAGUAAGAUCCCUUGAAGAGUACAAGGUAGAUAGGGCAGAGGUGGAAGCACGGUAACGAGUGGAGCUGACUGUUACUAAUCGAUCGAGGGCUUGACCG
rnacentral:rRNA from 1 species